rnacentral:rRNA from 1 species
UAGGGAAUCUUCCACAAUGGGCGAAAGCCUGAUGGAGCAACGCCGCGUGUGAUGAAGGGUUUCGGCUCGUAAAACACUGUUGUAAGAGAAGAAUGACAUUGAGAGUAACUGUUCAAUGUGUGACGGUAUCUUACCAGAAAGGAACGGCUAAAUACGUGCAAG